rnacentral:lncRNA from 1 species
UUGAUUGUUUUGUUUUGUUUUCUUUCCAAUGCUUGUAAUUAGCAGCUUUGGUGAUCAGAAAGGACCAGCUGGAGAAAACCAGAGAUUCUAAGAGGCAGAGAUGAGGAGAGAGUUCAUUCCAGACAUGGGCCACUGAGGACUAAAGCAUGAUAUCUGAGGAUGGAAGGUUGUGUGUGAAAGAGGGCAAGAAGGGAACUGAAGCCCUAGGGACAAUUGCUUCUUGGUUCCUGAGAAGAAAAUGGAAAUGUACAUUUUCUCAUUUGCUAUCAAAUAAAUAAUCCUUCCUAUGGAGCCAGGUUGUUGUUGAGUGACUCAGCAAGUCUUGGUGCAUUUUUCAAUGACACAGGUGAGUUGCUAUAAAAACAUGACAUAUUGAAGCUGUUGAAUUGUGUAAUG